GUGUCGGCAUUUCUUCAAAGCACCUGCCUCCCAUAUUUAAAGAUCAACGCACUCAAACUACACUCUGAUUCUUUGUGUUUUUGAUGAUGUUCAGGUUGUCACUGGUUCAUUAGUAUUUUUUAGUUUUUUAGUAGAUUGGCAUAGGAGGGGGCAUAUCUGUUCCCUCCACCUGCAGGUACCGAUUCCCAUUAAAUUGCAUCUCAAGCAAAGCUCUAAAAGCUGUAAUAUCUCCUCAUCUGGUCUCUGGGCAUUUGGGUUUCAACUGAAGACAUUUUGUACUGUGUUCAAACCUAAGUCUGUACUAAUGUUCGUGUACAGGCUCUCGAUGUCGAUCGUAAACAACAGAGCAUUGCUGGGUAGCACUAUUUGUCUGACAACCUCCAAAAAGUGAUAAGUGUCUUUCAGGUAGCUCGGAUGUUUGGUGGAGAGGGGGCCCAAGAAGUGGUCUAUAUACAGAGAGACAUUCUCCCUAAUUACUUCCUCCCAUCCCCCCGUUUACUACUGGAAGAAAUCGAUGAAAAAUAUGAAUGUCUGACUGUAUGAGUUCCCUCACCUCACCACUAACCUGCUCCCAUGUUGGCUCCCAGUGAGAUGGUAAGGUAAAUUUUGCCUCUGUAUUAGUUUUAUUUUUAUUAUUGUAUUGUGAAAAAUAAUCCAUGAGUUUAAUUCUGCUGUGAUAUAAAUGGAGAUCCCUCGGUAUGUAAAUUAGUCCGUUCUGUGGGGCGAAACAAUUCAGAUAAAUUUAAUACAUUAUUUGGUACCAAUCACACAGAAUCACUCAAAUCAAAUACUGACAGCAUUCACACAGUUAAAAUCACUCAAUAUGCUUUCAUACAAGUAUUUUGGACAUGCUGUUCAUAAUCAGAAAGAGCAAGUCAAAGAUUAACAAUUGAAACCUCUAAUCACUCUCACAGCACACACAAAAAUGGAAACUAGUUCUUUAUGCUUUUGGACUGGAUUGGCUCGCUACAAUCCUUUUAGUCCGGAAAUUUUUUACAGCGCUGUUAUUCACUCUUGCAGGCCUGCUUAGAACAAAAAUGAGAAAAAGAGAGCUGAUUAUUAGCUCAUCAAAACACAAAACAAAAUCACCUGACAGGAUUUCUAAGUGCACUGUUACCAUUUUAAAGUGCCCAAUUCUAGACAUGUCCAUGUUUAAUAAAACUUCCUCUAUUAAAAUAAAAACAAAAAACAAUAGAGGUAGUAGACAACACCCAGUAACUGCGUCUGUCCUUUUACAAGAGAAGAAAAAUAAACCCAUAUCGGACAAUUCUCCCCAUCUUAGACAAAAUCUGACCAUAAAUGUCCUUUUCUAAGUCAUGUUCUUCUCUUCACACAACUCUUGGCCUCCAAGGCAUAAACUUUGGACUUAUAACCGUCAUAUAAGUCCUCACAGCGCACCAAGCAUGGAGAAAACUCAACCUCAGUGCUUCAAAAUUCUCACACAAGACUCAAAAACUGUUUCUGUCAUUUAUCUGCCCAAGGACUUCAUCAAAUGGACCUCGCUUGGUCCAGUAAUCUUCAGCACAUGUAUAUCACUGCCGCCAGUGCUGAUUUAAAAACAGUUUCUUGUCUCAAUGCACCCAGUAUUAACUUAUCACAUGGACUGCAGCCGAUCCAUCAAUAUCAACACAAUUGUGUAUCCCCAUGUACACAACUUAUUCUUCACUUGUAUCACAGCACAUCUAGUAAUAUUUUCACAAUUACUUCAACAUGGUAAACAUUGAUUUUCCUUUAAAAUCAAUUUACCAUUAGAACUCAAGAUCACAGCUGACUCGAUUCUCUGAAAUCCUGAGUCAGUUAAACACCUUGCUCAACUCAAGGUGUCCUUUUCUCGGACUUCCUCGUCCGAACUCACUCUUUUUACCCCGGCAUCUCACCAUUUGCUGCUUUCCUUUGUAGCCUGCUGCUUACUUGACAGCCUCAUCUGCUUUCUGGUUCCCUUGUGCCACCAAUGUGGUUGCUUGAGAGUAUCCUUUGCAUUUUAUGAUACUGACCUCGUUUGGGUCAUCCAGGACCUUUUCCAGUCCUCCCAUUUCUUUCUUCUUUGAAAUGUGAGCAUUUGUUGCCGCUCUGAAGCCUGCU